CCUACGGGGUGCAGCAGUGAGGAAUAUUGGUCAAUGGGCUAGCGCCUGAACCAGCCAAGUCGCGUGAGGGAGUACUGCCCUAUGGGUUGUAAACCUCUUUUGUCGGGGAGCAAAAGCCGGACGUUUCCGGCUGUGAGAGUACCCGAAGAAAAAGCAUCUGCUAACUCCGUGCCAGCAGCCGCGGUAAUACGGAGGAUGCGAGCGUUAUCCGGAUUUAUUGGGUUUAAAGGGUGCGCAGGCGGAUUUUUAAGUCAGCGGUAAAAUCGUGGGGCUCAACCCCAUCCCGCCGUUGAAACUGGGGAUCUAGAGUGUGCGAGAGGUAUGCGGAAUGCGUGGUGUAGCGGUGAAAUGCAUAGAUAUCACGCAGAACCCCGAUUGCGAAGGCAGCAUACCGGUGCACAACUGACGCUCAGGCACGAAAGCGUGGGUAUCGAACAGGAUUAGAUACCCUAGUAGUC
rnacentral:rRNA from 1 species